rnacentral:rRNA from 1 species
ACUCCUACGGGAGGCAGCAGUGGGGAAUAUUGGGCAAUGGGCGGAAGCCUGACCCAGCGACGCCGCGUGCGGGAUGAAGGCCUUCGGGUUGUAAACCGCUUUCAGCAGGGAAGAAGCGAAAGUGACGGUACCUGCAAAAGAAGCACCGGCUAACUACGUGCCAGCAGCCGCGGUAAUACGUAGGGUGCAAGCGUUGUCCGGAAUUAUUGGGCGUAAAGAGCUCGUAGGUGGUUUGCCACGUCGGAUGUGAAACCCUGAGGCUCAACCUCAGGCCUGCAUUCGAUACGGGCAGACUAGAGUGUGGUAGGGGAGACUGGAAUUCCUGGUGUAGCGGUGAAAUGCGCAGAUAUCAGGAGGAACACCGGUGGCGAAGGCGGGUCUCUGGGCCAUUACUGACACUGAGGAGCGAAAGCGUGGGGAGCAAACAGGAUUAGAUACCCUGGUAGUCCACGCCGUAAACGGUGGGCACUAGGUGUGGGACCCUUCCACGGGUUCUGCGCCGCAGCUAACGCAUUAAGUGCCCCGCCUGGGGAGUACGGCCGCAAGGCUAAAACUCAAAUGAAUUGACGG